rnacentral:misc_RNA from 1 species
UGCCUGCUGGUGCUCAUCUUGGUGUGUUAUGUUUUGUGGAUCAGAAUCAUGGGUUUUCGAUGAAAAGGGUAUUUUGUUCUUUUACAGAUGUUCAAAACUCGCUUAUGGACGUGUGCACAAAAUGUGGGGAAUUGGAGGCUUCCGUUUCACUUUUCAAUAUUCAUGGGAGAAGGAUUUGGCUUCAUGGACUAUGAUUUGCUCGUGUAUUGAGAACAAAUGUCCUAGAAAAGGAUUGAAUAUUUUCUUGAAGA